rnacentral:rRNA from 1 species
UACGUAGGUGGCAAGCGUUGUCCGGAUUUAUUGGGUUUAAAGGGUGCGUAGGCGGUCUAUUAAGUCAGUGCUGAAAUAUCCCGGCUUAACCGGGAGGGUGGCAUUGAUACUGAUGGACUUGAGUAGAGUUGAGGUUGGCGGAAUUGACGGUGUAGCGGUGAAAUGCUUAGAUAUCGUCAAGAACACCUAUUGCGAAGGCAGCUAACUAAGCUCAAACUGACGCUGAGGCACGAAAGCUAGGGGAGCAAACGGG